UCUACGGGGGGCAGCAGUGAGGAAUAUUGGUCAAUGGACGAGAGUCUGAACCAGCCAAGUAGCGUGAAGGAUGACUGCCCUAUGGGUUGUAAACUUCUUUUAUAAAGGAAUAAAGCGAGGCACGUGUGCCCUUUUGCAUGUACUUUAUGAAUAAGGAUCGGCUAACUCCGUGCCAGCAGCCGCGGUAAUACGGAGGAUCCGAGCGUUAUCCGGAUUUAUUGGGUUUAAAGGGAGCGUAGAUGGGUUGUUAAGUCAGGUGGGAAAGUUGGGGGCUCAACCGUAAAAUUGCAAUUGAUACUGGCAGUCUGGAGUAGAAGUGAGGUAGGCGGAAUGCGUGGUGUAGCGGUGAAAUGCUUAGAUAUCACGAAGAACCCCGAUUGCGAAGGCAGCAUACCAAACUGUGACUGACAUUGAUGCUCGAAAGUGUGGGUAUCAAACAGGAUUAGAUACCCGAGUAGUC
rnacentral:rRNA from 1 species